CGCGCAUGCGCAGGAACGGCCCGCGGGCGGAGCGGGGUCGCUUCUUCUAGAGAACUCAGCUCGUCAUUACUGCAUUGGAAAGAUGUGCUCAAACCAAGGCUCCAGAGCAGACCUUCAUCUGGAGGCGCUCCUGCAACGGGGACAGUCCACACUAACAAAGGAGAAAGGACAUGCUCUGAUAACUGCAGUCCGUGCAGGCGGACCGACAGAGGUAUGAUUUGCCUCUGGGAGGAAAAAAGGAGAAAGCGGACCUUGAGCAACAGACAUCAAUACAGCGAAACUGCAGGCACGAUCUUAUGCCACUGAAGCAUUUACAAAGAGAUGGCAGUCUCAUUAUUAAAGGCACAAGUGCAGGCUACAUUAACAUAAAGCAUAAAAAUGCUAUCAGAAACCACAAUUUGAUUCGGGUAUGAUGUGAAAACAUGGGGGGGGAAAAAAAAUGACUACUCCUUUCUCAAAGGAUCAGUACUAAAGAAUGGCAGAAGCAUACAGGGUCAGAAACAGCUAAGGCUUAAAGAUGGAAACAGCCGGAAAUACCCAACAACCAGAAAAUUGUCCUGCAGACACAUUAGCAGGAAAGCAAACAAAAGAACUGCUGGUCUGCUCCUCUGAAGGGACAGUGCUGGGUGCUUCGUGUCAAGAAGUCUGAAGUAUGUCCUGCCCUUCUCUGAGAAGGUUAACAGAGAACAAAAGCUGACUCAGUCAAAAAAACAAUGAGAAAAGACAAGGGGGCCCAAACAAACGUGCUGCCUCCUACUCUGAUCAUUGUUUUCUUUCAUUGCCUUGGUCAUAAAACAGCAAGUACACUUACUAAUUCACAACCAACAUGAAACUGAGAGGAACAGUAAGCAUUGGAAGAAAAACUAAACAAUGGUCUGGAAAACGGACAAAGCACAGCACAGGUAAGAGCAGCCUACAGAAGGAAAGAACUGUCCCAGAGGGCCACAGUUCCUGUGAAAGCGAUGUGUCAGUGCCAAGCUGCUGCCAAAAGGUGCAAACAUCAC
rnacentral:lncRNA from 1 species